CUGCUGCCUUCCGUAGGAGUCUGGUCCGUGUCUCAGUACCAGUGUGGGGGGCCUUCCUCUCAGAACCCCUACGCAUCGUCGCCUCGGUGGGCCCGUUACCCCGCCGACUAGCUAAUGCGCCGCAUGCCCAUCCGUGGCCGGGAUUGCUCCCUUUGGCGGCCUUGGGAUGUCCCUAGGCCGCGUUACGCGGUAUUAGACGGGGUUUCCCCCGCUUACUCCCCCUGCCACGGGCAGGUUGCAUACGUGUUACUCACCCGUGCGCCGGUCGCCGGCAACGG
rnacentral:rRNA from 1 species